GUGGGCGUAGCUCAGCUGGUAGAGCGUUGGAUUGUGGUUCCAAAUGUCGAGGGUUCAAGCCCCUUCGCCCACCCCA
rnacentral:tRNA from 1 species